rnacentral:misc_RNA from 1 species
ACGCCACUCGAGCUCCCCUCUCCGCUCUGCUGGAAGGGGCUCGGUGUUGGGGCAGUAGGGCCUAGUUCUGCUAGGCUCCCUACGCCCUCAAAAGCAUUGCGCGGCCCUCGCAUCAGGACCCGAGCACAGUAAACUCUCACGUUGAGCUGCUUUGGGGGCACCUGCGCCGGGGCGCUAGCCGUAAAACCCACCAACAUAGGCCUGCUCGUCAGGCCGCCUGA